GACAGAUUGGGCAAGCGUUGCUCGGAAUUACUGGGCGUAAAGGGCGCGUAGGCGGGAUGGCAAGUCGGUCGUGAAAUCCUUCGGCUCAACCGAAGAACGUCGAUCGAUACUGCUGUUCUUGAGGGUUGCAGAGGAGACUGGAAUUCCCGGUGUGGCGGUGAAAUGUGUAGAGAUCGGGAGGAACACCGGUGGCGAAGGCGGGUCUCUGGGCAAUUCCUGACGCUGAGGCGCGAAAGCGUGGGGAGCAAACGGG
rnacentral:rRNA from 1 species